CACAUUCUGUUAUAAUGAUCAGUGGUGCCUUAGUGACAUCACAUUCUGUUAUAAUGAUCAGUGGUGCCUUAGUGACAUCACAUCCUGUUAUAAUGAUCAGCGGUGCCUUAGUGACAUCACAUUCUGUUAUAAUGAUCAGUGGUGCCUUAGUGACAUCACAUUCUGUUAUAAUGAUCAGCGUGGUGCCUUAGUGACAUCACAUUCUGUUAUAAUGAUCAGCGCGGUGCCUUAGUGACAUCACAUUCUGUUAUAAUGAUCAGCGCGGUGCCUUAGUGACAUCACAUUCUGUUAUAAUGAUCAGCGCGGUGCCUUAGUGACAUCACAUCCUGUUAUAAUGAUCAGCGCGGUGCCUUAGUGACAUCACAUUCUGUUAUAAUGAUCAGCGGUGCCUUAGUGACAUCACAUUCUGUUAUAAUGAUCAGUGGUGCCUUAGUGACAUCACAUUCUGUUAUAAUGAUCAGCGCGGUGCCUUAGUGACAUCACAUUCUUUUAUAAUGAUCAGCGCGGUGCCUUAGUGACAUCACAUUCUGUUAUAAUGAUCAGCGCGGUGCCUUAGUGACAUCACAUUCUGUUAUAAUGAUCAGUGGUUGCCUUAGUGACAUCACAUUCUGUUAUAAUGAUCAGUGGUGCCUUAGUGACAUCACAUUCUGUUAUAAUGAUCAAUGGUGCCUUAGUGACAUCACAUUCUGUUAUAAUGAUCAGUGGUGCCUUAGUGACAUCACAUUCUGUUAUAAUGAUCAGUGGUGCCUUAGUGACAUCACAUUCUGUUAUAAUGAUCAGCGCGGUGCCUUAGUGACAUCACAUCCUGUUAUAAUGAUCAGUGGUGCCUUAGUGACAUCACAUUCUGUUAUAAUGAUCAGCGGUGCCUUAGUGACAUCACAUUCUGUUAUAAUGAUCAGUGGUGCCUUAGUGACAUCACAUUCUGUUAUAAUGAUCAGCGCGGUGCCUUAGUGACAUCACAUUCUUUUAUAAUGAUCAGCGCGGUGCCUUAGUGACAUCACAUUCUGUUAUAAUGAUCAGCGCGGUGCCUUAGUGACAUCACAUUCUGUUAUAAUGAUCAGUGGUUGCCUUAGUGACAUCACAUUCUGUUAUAAUGAUCAGUGGUGCCUUAGUGACAUCACAUUCUGUUAUAAUGAUCAAUGGUGCCUUAGUGACAUCACAUUCUGUUAUAAUGAUCAGCGUGGUGCCUUAGUGACAUCACAUUCUGUUAUAAUGAUCAGUGGUGCCUUAGUGACAUCACAUUCUGUUAUAAUGAUCAAUAGUGGAAAACAGAAAUGUGGCCAGUUUUUGUCUCGUGGAGAAACCAGGAAAUGGAUGAUUUGACCAGGAAAUGAAUGAUUUGACCAGGAAAUGAAUGCGUGAAUAAUUUGAUCCAUAUUGGAUCUGAGCGUGAAUGUGCUAUUCAAAAUGGUCAAUACCUGUGUUGUCAUUGAGGGGCAAUUUGUUUUAGCCAACGACACUUUUAAUAAAUUACAAUUAACUGUUUUUCUUUUUAGAUGGUUGUGUCAGAAUUGAGACAUUUUAUGAAUCUGUAUAAUUUGUGGUUUUAUCAGAAUGGAGAGUUGUCUUUCUAAUUCAACACACUGAUAUUGAAGGAGCUGUAAUCAACUGUGGAAGGCAGACUACAGUCGGACCAAAACCACUAAAAGCGUGUAACUGCUCCUGUGUUCCCAUGAGUCUCCCUGAAUAUACUGUCCUGUGUCUCUGCUGUUUAUUCCUCAUAUCUCCUUUUUUUCUUCAAUAAAUUCAAUAAUGAUGGAAAA